rnacentral:rRNA from 1 species
UGAACGCUGGCGGCGUGCCUAAUACAUGCAACUCUAGCGAACGGACGUGCAGCUUUCUUCUCUGAUUUUAUCGGCGGUCGGGUGAGUAACACGUGGAUAACCUACCUAUUAUUCUGUUUUAACUUCGGGAAACCGGAUCUAAUACCGGAUAAUAUUUUUAACCUCUUGUUUCUAAUUUGAUCGUCUGUCUUUCUGUCUCUUUUCUUUUUUUCCGCGCUGCAUUAGCUAGUUGGUAAGGUAACGUCUUACCAAGGCAACGAUGCAUAGCCGACCUGAGAGGGUGAUCGGCCACACGGGAACUGAGACACGGAACAGACUACUACGGGAGGCAGCAGUAGGGAAUAUUCCGCAAUGGGCGAAAGCGUGACGGAGCAACGCCGCGUGAGAGAUGAAGGUCGUCGGAUCGGAAAACUCUGUUAUUAGGGAAGAAAAUAUGGGUAAGUAAAUGUGCACAUAUUGACGGUAGCUAAUCAGAAAGCAACGGCUAACUACGUG